UCAUCCGUCUACAAAUACAAUAGCCUUAAAUAGAUUAAUACAAAAUCUCGGUUCACCAAGAGAUUUAAACCAAGAACAUGGUAAAUAUCCAACAGAACCUGUAGUAGUUGUUGUAUCUACUGGCAACCCUGAUUUAAGCAGUGACGAGGAUGGUUAUGUAUUGUCUACUGAUGGCAGUGAUGCUGAUGAUGAACUAUCUACUGAUGAUGAGCUAUUGUUUAGUAGUGAUGAUGAUGAUGAUGAUCUUCCAAACAGACUUGAAGAACCCUUUAAAGGUAUCAAUAAUACUAAUCCACGUUUUAUACAGAAAGAUAUAGAUGCUGUAACUACAGUUUUAGAUUUAACCCCUACCUCACCAACAAAACCUAAAGAAUCCAGAUUACGACGAUGGAGAAGGAAAGCGGCUAAAAACUUAAAGAAACUAUUCACAUGCUGUGUUCAAACAGAUGACAUGUAUGUCUAAGAAUUCAAUAAAAACAUUAAAAUUUUGACGAAAUUAAAGAAUGAUAAUAAUAAUAAACAAAAAAGAAAAAAAAAAGAAAAAAAAAACAGAAAAAAAACCCCGAAAGGACAAACAAGUCUACAAUUUGAAAUCUAUUUGUUAUAACCGCCAUAUACAUUAUUUAUGUAAUAUUUUUAUAGAAAGUUUCAUAACGAUUAUUAAGACACCUGUAGGCUACGGGGUUAUAGAGACGCAAUUUCAGG